UAUAAAUGUAAAAUUAAACUAGAUUAGUAUUAGUUAUGUUCUUGAAAAUUAAAAAUUUUGGCGGUUUUUUAGUCUAUUCAGAGGAACCUGUUCUAUAAAUGAUAGUCCACGAUUUGAAUAUCCUUUAUUAUUAGUUUGUAUAUCGUCGUAGUUUGAAUAUUUUAAAAGAAUUAAAAUAUUCAAAAUUUAUUUAAAUAAGAAAUAUCAGAUCAAGGUAUAGCUUAUAUAAAGGUAGAAAUGGGUUACAUUAAUUUUAAUUAUAGAUUGUUAAUUUAAAAUUAAAUAUGAAAAAGGAUUUGAUAGUAAUUUUUAAUAAAUUUUAAAAAUGAUUUUAGCUCUAAAAA
rnacentral:rRNA from 1 species